AGAGUUUGAUCAUGGCUCAGAGUGAACGCUGGCGGCGUGCUUAACACAUGCAAGUCGAACGGUAGCAGAUUCUUCGGAAUGCUGACGAGUGGCGAACGGGUGAGUAAUGUAUAGUUAAUUUGCCUCUUGGAGAGGGAUAGCCACUGGAAACGGUGAUUAAUACCUCAUACUCCUUAUAUAGUAAAUAUGUAAGGGAAAUGCUUUUGUGCCAAGAGAUAAGACUAUAUGGUAUCAGGUAGUUGGUGGGGUAAGAGCCUACCAAGCCAAUGACGCCUAGCUGGUCUGAGAGGAUGAUCAGCCACACUGGAACUGAGACACGGUCCAGACUCCUACGGGAGGCAGCAGUGGGGAAUAUUGCACAAUGGAGGAAACUCUGAUGCAGCAACGCCGCGUGGAGGAUGACGCAUUUCGGUGUGUAAACUCCUUUUAUAUAGGAAGAUAANGACGGACUAA
rnacentral:rRNA from 1 species